UGUAUCUGUCGGUAAAGCACAUCUUUUUCCUCCACUAUCUGUUUCCAAUACUGGAACAGUCGCCUGGUCCUUGGGUGUUCUCUGAGAAGUUGUCGCUUCGAUGGCUUUUUACCUUGAUCCCAAUAGUGCUUGAAUCUCCCAAUGUAUUCAUCUUCCAUCUGAAGUUUGGCUAUAUCUUCUGUUGAAAGUGCGGGCAUGUGGGUAGAUAUGAUGGGAACUUGCCUUUGAACAGUUGUGUUCAUUUCUUCCUCCGUUAUCUCAUGGAUGGUUGAUCUAAGGACUCCUGGAAGUUGUGUAGAGUCACUCAGUGAUGCUGUUGAGGCUUCUACUUCUAAUGACUCUAGUCUGUCUGUCUCUGGAGAAUGCUUUGACUUGCGGCUGAGAGAAUCUGCAUUCUUGUUUUGUUUGCCCGACCUAUGCCUGAUCGUAAGGUUGAAUUGAGCCAGUUC